rnacentral:rRNA from 1 species
AGGACGAACGCUGGCGGCGUGCUUAACACAUGCAAGUCGAGCGGAAAGGCCCUUCGGGGUACUCGAGCGGCGAACGGGUGAGUAACACGUGAGUAAUCUGCCCCUAGCUCUGGGAUAGCCCCCGGGAAACCGGGAUUAAUACCAGAUACGACCACUUUAGACAUCUGUUGUGGUGGAAAGAAUUUUGGCUAGGGAUGAGCUCGCGGCCUAUCAGCUUGUUGGUGAGGUAACGGCUCACCAAGGCGACGACGGGUA